UAGUAUCAGAGUGGUAAUUGAAAUGUUUGAACUACAGAGAUUUUUGGUGGUUAAUUAAUCAUCGAGUUUCUAGUACUAAAAUAAAUGGGCAGCUCACUAAGGAUUUAAAUAUUUAUGUAAUUGAACAAACUUGGUUGGAAAAACAGAGGCCUGAUUAGAGACACUGCUAAGAGAAUCAGCCUUCACUCUUCCUAGUCCUGGGAAGUAUCUUUGAGAGAAGAUCUUCUGACGACAUCAAAAGUAUUUGUAAAUCUUUCUCUCAACCUUUCCCCAAAGAAGCACACUAUUUACUAGAAUAAAACUAUGCUGGGGAGUGGGGGGUGUGAAGACAUCUUGAACUUUAAGGGAUUAUCGGACUAUGGUGUUAAUCCCUGUUGACCCAGAAUACCCUGCAGACAAGAUUUACUGGUUUUACUGUAUACCGCCAUCAUCCAGUAGCAGCUGGCUUUUACAAUUCUUGAAUGAUCUUUUGAAAACUCCAGUGCCAGUAGGGAGAGAACACUUUGCAAAGUUAAGAGUGUUAUCCCAUAGUAGAGAUUA